AUUGAACGCUGGCGGCAUGCUUUACACAUGCAAGUCGAACGGUAACAGGCCGCAAGGUGCUGACGAGUGGCGCACGGGUGAGUAAUGCAUCGGAACGUGCCCAGUCGUGGGGGAUAACUACUCGCAAGAGUAGCUAAUACCGCAUACGAUCUAUGGAUGACAGCGGGGGACCGUAAGGCCUCUCGCGAUUGGAGCGGCCGAUGUCAGAUUAGGUAGUUGGUGGGGUAAAGGCUCACCAAGCCAACGAUCUGUAGCUGGUCUGAGAGGACGACCAGCCACACUGGGACUGAGACACGGCCCAGACUCCUACGGGAGGCAGCAGUGGGGAAUUUUGGACAAUGGGCGCAAGCCUGAUCCAGCAAUGCCGCGUGCAGGAAGAAGGCCUUCGGGUUGUAAACUGCUUUUGUACGGAACGAAACGGCUCUGGUUAAUACCCGGGGCUAAUGACGGUACCGUAAGAAUAAGCACCGGCUAACUACGUG
rnacentral:rRNA from 1 species